CCUACGAGUGGCUGCAGUCGAGAAUCAUUCACAAUGGGGGAAACCCUGAUGGUGCGACGCCGCGUGGGGGAAUGAAGGUCUUCGGAUUGUAAACCCCUGUCAUGUGGGAGCAAAUUAAAAAGAUAGUACCACAAGAGGAAGAGACGGCUAACUCUGUGCCAGCAGCCGCGGUAAUACAGAGGUCUCAAGCGUUGUUCGGAAUCACUGGGCGUAAAGCGUGCGUAGGCUGUUUCGUAAGUCGUGUGUGAAAGUCGCGGGCACAACCCGCGAACGGGAACUGAUACUGCGAGACUAGAGUAAUGGAGGGGGAACCGGAAUUCUCGGUGUAGCAGUGAAAUGCGGAGAUAUCGAGAGGAACACUCGUGGCGAAGGCGGGUUCCUGGACAUUAACUGACGCUGAGGCACGAAGGCCAGGGGAGCGAAAGGGAUUAGAUACCCCUGUAGUC
rnacentral:rRNA from 1 species